rnacentral:rRNA from 1 species
UACGGGGGGGGCAAGCGUUGUUCGGAAUUACUGGGCGUAAAGGGCUCGUAGGCGGCCAACUAAGUCAGACGUGAAAUCCCCAGGCUCAACCUGGGAACUGCGUCUGAUACUGGAUGGCUUGAAUCCGGGAGAGGGAUGCAGAAUUCCAGGUGUAGCGGUGAAAUGCGUAGAUAUCUGGAGGAAUACCGGUGGCGAAGGCGGCAUCCUGGACCGAGAUUGACGCUGAUGAGCGAAAGCUAGGGGAGCAAACAGG